rnacentral:rRNA from 1 species
GAUGAACGCUGGCGGCGUGCCUAAUACAUGCAAGUCGAGCGAACGGACGAGAAGCUUGCUUCUCUGAUGUUAGCGGCGGACGGGUGAGUAACACGUGGAUAACCUACCUAUAAGACUGGGAUAACUUCGGGAAACCGGAGCUAAUACCGGAUAAUAUUUUGAACCGCAUGGUUCAAAAGUGAAAGACGGUCUUGCUGUCACUUAUAGAUGGAUCCGCGCUGCAUUAGCUAGUUGGUAAGGUACGGCUUACCAAGGCAACGAUGCAUAGCCGACCUGAGAGGGUGAUCGGCCACACUGGAACUGAGACACGGUCCAGACUCCUACGGGAGGCAGCAGUAGGGAAUCUUCCGCAAUGGGCGAAAGCCUGACGGAGCAACGCCGCGUGAGUGAUGAAGGGCUUCGGAUCGUAAAACUCUGUUAUUAGGGAAGAACAUAUGUGUAAGUAACUGUGCACAUCUUGACGGUACCUAAUCAGAAAGCCACGGCUAACUACGU